ACGGAAGGCAGCAGUGGGGAAUAUUGCACAAUGGGGGAAACCCUGAUGCAGCGACGCCGCGUGAGUGAAGAAGUAUUUCGGUACGUAAAGCUCUAUCAGCAGGGAAGAAAAUGACGGUACCUGACUAAGAAGCCCCGGCUAACUACGUGCCAGCAGCCGCGGUAAUACGUAGGGGGCAAGCGUUAUCCGGAUUUACUGGGUGUAAAGGGAGCGUAGACGGUUCUGCAAGUCUGAUGUGAAAGGCAGGGGCUCAACUCCUGGACUGCAUUGGAAACUGUAGAACUAGAGUGCCGGAGAGGUAAGCGGAAUUCCUAGUGUAGCGGUGAAAUGCGUAGAUAUUAGGAGGAACACCAGUGGCGAAGGCGGCUUACUGGACGGUAACUGACGUUGAGGCUCGAAAGCGUGGGGAGCAAACAGGAUUAGAUACCCUGGUA
rnacentral:rRNA from 1 species